ensembl:snoRNA
AACACGCUCCUUAGAUCCACCUCUGGAGGGCACUGUUCUGUGAGCAGAGGUCCUCAGCAGCUUUAUGGCUGUACAGUUGGAGGUGCUUGAGUCAUUGGCGUGUAAGAACAGUCUACCUGUCCCCCAGCCCACCUGCAGCAUUGGCAACCCUGACAUCAGACAGGGAGCUCCCAGUGCUGCAAGCCUGGGGGACAGACACU